rnacentral:rRNA from 1 species
AGAAUCAACGCUGGCGGCGUGCCUAACACAUGCAAGUCGCACGAGAAAGGGACUUCGGUCUUGAGUAAAGUGGCGCACGGGUGAGUAACACGUGACUAAUCUACCCUCGAGUGGGGGAAUAACUGAGAGAAAUCUUAGCUAAUACCGCAUAACACUUACGAGUCAAAGCAGCAAUGCGCUUGGGGAGGAGGUCGCGGCCGAUUAGCUAGUUGGCGGGGUAAUGGCCCACCAAGGCGAUGAUCGGUAUCCGGCCUGAGAGGGCGCACGGACACACUGGAACUGAAACACGGUCCAGACUCCUACGGGAGGCAGCAGUGGGGAAUUUUGCGCAAUGGGGGAAACCCUGACGCAGCAACGCCGCGUGGAGGAUGAAGUAUCUUGGUACGUAAACUCCUUUCGAUGGGGAAGAUAAUGACGGUACCCAUAGAAGAAGCCCCGGCUAACUUCGUGCCAGCAGCCGC